rnacentral:lncRNA from 1 species
AAUACAUAUGAAUUGAAUAAGUAGGAAGAAGACAAAAAAUUUCCUACAACCAAAAGAUGAGAGGAAUCUUAUAUAACACUAAAUGGGACCUAAGAGUGCCUAUAUUUAUUAGAAAGACAAUAUAAUAUUGAACCAAGGAAAUAUGUUUUGGUUUUUGCUAUAAUACUAUAUAAAUUCAUUUUGGAAUAGAUUUAUUUUUAAUCUCUUUCUUCAUACACAAUAAUAU